GGGGAUUGAACCCAGGGCCUCACACAUACUAGGCAAGUGCUCUGCCACUGAGCUACAAUCCCAGCCUCAAAAUCCAGUCUUUUUGAUGAUUUGGAGAGUUUAUAAUCGAGUAGUUUCAAAGACAUUGAGCCAACAUGAUUUGUCCUAAUGGGUUCUGAUGAUUGUCUCUCCAGGUGAGGCAUGGGGAUGGGGAGGAGAGGUUUUUCUAGGAUGUUGUUAAACAGGAAGACAGCUUAUAGCAAAUAUUUGUUCCUUUUGGUUUUCAGUGCUGUGGUAGAGCUUAUUUCUUUUUUUUUUUUAGCAGGCAGAUAGAAGUUCCUGUCACUUUCUCUUCCUUUAUGGAGUAGGAUGUGAUGUUCCUGUUAGUGGAAAUACCACUCAAAUGUCCAUGGAUCAUGAAGAAUUGCUCCGUACCUAUACUCCUGGAGCAUCUCUGCGGAAGGGAAAAGGAAACUCUUCUAUGGAUGGUGCAGCAGGGUGCAGUGGACCCCCGCCAAUAUGCCGACAAGCCCAGACCAAGCUAGAAGUGGCCUUGUACAUGUUUCUGUGGAGUCCUGACACUGAAGCUGUUCUGGUUGCCAUGUCCUGUUUCCGCCACCUCUGUGAGGAAGCAGAUAUCCGUUGUGGGGUGGAUGAAGUAUCAGUGCACAACUUCUUGCCAAACUAUAAUACAUUCAUGGAGUUUGCUUCUGUCAGCAAUAUGAUGUCAACAGGAAGAGCAGCACUUCAGAAAAGAGUGAUGGCAUUGCUAAGGCGCAUUGAGCAUCCCACUGCAGGAAACACUGAGGCUUGGGAAGAUACACAUGCAAAAUGGGAACAAGCUACAAAACUAAUCCUUAACUAUCCAAAAGCAAAAAUGGAAGAUGGUCAGGCUGCUGAAAGCCUUCAUAAGACCAUUGUUAAGAGACGAAUGUCCCAUGUGAGUGGAGGAGGAUCCAUAGAUUUAUCUGAUACAGACUCCCUACAGGAAUGGAUCAACAUGACUGGCUUCCUUUGUGCUCUUGGGGGAGUGUGUCUGCAGCAGAGAAGCAAUUCUGGCCUGGCAACCUAUAGCCCACCCAUGGGCCCAGUCAGUGAACGUAAAGGUUCCAUGAUUUCAGUGAUGUCUUCAGAGGGAAACACAGAUACACCUGUCAGCAAAUUUAUGGAUCGGCUGCUAUCCUUAAUGGUGUGUAAUCAUGAGAAAGUGGGACUUCAGAUACGGACCAAUGUUAAAGAUCUAGUGGGUUUGGAAUUGAGUCCUGCUCUUUAUCCAAUGCUAUUUAACAAAUUGAAGAAUACCAUCAGCAAGUUUUUUGACUCCCAAGGACAGGUUUUAUUGACUGAUACCAAUACUCAAUUUGUAGAGCAAACUAUAGCUAUAAUGAAGAAUUUACUAGAUAAUCAUACUGAAGGUAGCUCUGAACAUUUGGGACAAGCUAGCAUUGAAACAAUGAUGUUAAAUCUAGUCAGGUAUGUUCGUGUGCUUGGGAAUAUGGUCCACGCAAUUCAAAUAAAAACGAAACUGUGUCAGUUAGUUGAAGUAAUGAUGGCAAGGAGAGAUGACCUCUCAUUUUGUCAAGAGAUGAAAUUUAGGAAUAAGAUGGUAGAAUACCUGACAGACUGGGUUAUGGGAACAUCAAACCAAGCAGCAGAUGAUGAUGUAAAAUGUCUUACAAGGUACAGAAAAAAAAAAAAAAAGAUAAAAUGACUAGGUAUUUACAGGAUUUA
rnacentral:lncRNA from 1 species